GGCAGAGGAACGGAGACAGGUCCUCGGAAGCCUCUUUCCAGAAAAUCUAAUUUCAUCAUUGAGAAAUCUUCUGUCUUAAACAGCCUCCACCACCGCCAUAAAUUUACAUAUUCUAUAUGCCGCCGGAACGGAGUGGGCCCUAUUUGCAUAAUGCUGCUGGAGGGGCUCACGCUCCUCUUGAACCUGAAUGUAGCAGGAGCGAGGAAGCAAUUAUUAAGCUGUAGACGUUGGCAGGGAGAGAGCCCUCAGAUGGAUUUCGACUCCAAACCUCAUUCGCCAGGGCUGCUCAUUACCGAAGGCCUGGAUCCCAGGCUGAAGGUGGAUCCCAGGGCUGGGAAAAAUCAGUGUGAAUUGCUUUCUCCAGGUUAUGUCUGCAGCCAGGCCGAGGCCAGAUAUGGGGGGUCUUUGAGCAUCCUGGAUGAUUCAUUGCCUUGCUCAGCAAUUUAUUCAACAAUCACAGGACACUGGACACAGAGAUGAACAAAACAAAUGGACUUCCUGCCCUCACAAGGAUUACGGCUCUAGAGCAGGAAGACAAACCUUCAUCAAACAACAUCUCUCCUGAAGCACUCCCCUACCAUCCCCCUACAACACAGUAUUUUGGCAACUAUUGCUAGAAAAAUGGGAACUACGAUGUAUUAAGUACCUACCAUGUGUUACCUCCUAUAUGAGCUUUAUCUCAUUUAAUCUUGGCAGUGGUCUUAUUUUACACACAAUGAAACUGAGGCUCAGAGAGGUGAAGUCACUAAGUCAGGUAAUGGCAGAUCUGGCAUGCACACCUAAGUCUAUGUAUCACCUGAGCCCAAGCUCAUUGCUUCUUCCUGACCAUGCUUCUUCCCUUUCAGCCCUUCCACUCCCAAGGCUCCCCACUCCAUCCUCAUGAUAAGCCAAAGUUGAGUACUCUGGACACCAGAAUAAUAAGUGGGAAAGAGAGGGACGGGUCUGAUGAGUUACCAUGAAAUGAGCACCGGACUGUGGGUCAAGAGGCCAACCCCAGCUUUGCUGCUGACAUUCUGUGUUGUCUUGAACAAGUCACACCCUCUCUUAAGGUCUCCAUUUCUUCAUCCAUAAGUGAAAUAAAUCUAUAAAAAUAUCCACCUGUCUUGUAUCAUGGACUUUAAUGAGAUAAUGUCUAGAAAAAAGAGUUCUAUGGCACAAAUAAAAUAAGUGAAUAGUAACU
rnacentral:lncRNA from 1 species